rnacentral:rRNA from 1 species
AGCAGCCGCGGUAAUUCCAGCUCCAAUAGCGUAUAUUAAAGUUGUUGCAGUUAAAAAGCUCGUAGUUGAAUUUCGGGAUUGACGUGAUGGUCAUGCCUUAAGGGGUAUGAACUGUUACUGUUGAUUUCUCACCUUCUGGAGAAACUCGAUGUCCUUUAUUGGGUGUCUUGCGGAUCCAGGACCUUUACCUUGAAAAAAUUAGAGUGUUUAAAGCAGGCAUUUUUUGCUCGAAUACAUUAGCAUGGAAUAAUAGAAUAGGACGGCAUGGUUCUAUUUUGUUGGUUUCUAGGAUCACCGUAAUGAUUAAUAGGGAUAGUUGGGGGCAUUAGUAUUCAAUUGUCAGAGGUGAAAUUCUUGGAUUUAUUGAAGACUAACUACUGCGAAAGCAUUUUGCCAAGGAUGUUUUCAUUAAUCAAGAACGAAAGUUAGGGGAUCGAAGACGAUCAGAUACCGUCGUAGUCUUAACCAUAAACUAUGCCGACUAGGAAUCAGACGAUGUUAAUUUUUUAAUGACUCGUUU